CGCGAACGCAAAAACCUGUAAGUUUUGGUUAAACAUGAACAAUUAACAGCUACGCGAACGAACCUAUUAUCGUUUAAGCACAAUAAACAGUUAAGAGCGCUAUGGAGCAAGAACAACAAAUGCGGCCACCAAAGAUGAUGGGAUGCUUUUGUGAAGGAAUUUGUUUUGGUUUGUGACCAGGACAAUAUCUAUGGAUAAACAUAACACCGAUAUUAGUCGUUGUUGGUGACGUUGUUUUAGAUUUAGACAGCUUAAAGAAAGAUUUACCUCGUAGCUAGUGGUUUGACAAAUUCGAUUUCCACCAUCUUCACUCGCGUCCACAGAGAAAAAGUAUUCAAACUGUUGAAUUUGUCGCAAUUAAAUUAUACUUGCAAACAUCAUCGUGUUAUCUCAUAGUGCCGGAGUAAUAACAUGCCUGUUCAUGAAUUUAGAGUGUUAAUGACCUGUUCAAAAUGUGCCAACGGCGUGGAGCGUGUUUUAAACAAGUUAGGCGAUAAGUGGAGUUGAGCGAGACAAUGAUGGCAACGAGCGAUAUGUGUACAAUAAGCUCCAAAGUGUUUCCUCUUUUUUAUUGGUAUCAGUGUGUAUUAUAAAUACAUUAAUUGGGCUUACAAAUUAAUGUACAUACGUCCAAGACAAAUUAUUUGCAAGUAUUACAAAUGUGAAAAUUAGUAUGCCUUAUGCGUGUGUAAAAUACUUGUACGGAAUUGUACAAAGUUGUUAGCCAAGGCUUGUUUUUUAAAAAGUGUUAAGUAAUUAUUAAUGUUAAUGUGUAUUAAAAGAAAGGUAAUUCAAUUGAUUUUCUUCCUGUUAUAAAAUCUUUUCAACAUAUAAAAUUUGUUUGUAAAAAUUUUCAAAUUUUGAGUAUGCCUUAUGCGAGUGUAAGAUACUCGUACGGAAUUGUACAAAGUUGUUAGCCAAGGCUUGUUUUUUAAAAAGUGUUAAGUAAUUAUUAAUGUUAAUGUGUAUUAAAAGAAAGGUAAUUCAAUUGGUUUUCUUCGUGUAAUAAAAUCUUUUGAACAAAUAAAAUUAGUUUGUAAAAAUUUUAAAAUUUUGAGCAUGCCUUAUGUGAGUGUAAGAUACUCAUACGGAAUUGUACAAAGUUGUUAACCAAGGCUUGGUUUUUAAGUGUUUUGUAAUUAUUAUUAUUAAUGUAUAUUGAAAGAAGGGUAAUUCAAUUACCUUCUUUCUGUUAUAGGGUCUUUGAAUAAAUUAAACUUUUUUGUAAAAAUCCACAAUUUUUGUAUAGUGGCUUAUUCGAGUGCAAAACACACGGGACCUUAUGAAUAUCAGCUAAGCAAGUUUUUUCCUAAAAUUUCAGAUCUUUU